rnacentral:tRNA from 2 species
GGCCCGGUAGCUCAGUGGAUAGAGCGCUUGCCUACGAAGCAAGUUGUCGCGCGUUCGAGUCGCGCCCGGGUCA